rnacentral:rRNA from 1 species
GAUGAACGCUAGCGAUAGGCCUAACACAUGCAAGUCGAGGGGCAUCACAUGAAGUAGCAAUACGGAUGGUGGCGACCGGCGCACGGGUGAGUAACACGUAUGCAACCUGCCUUCAACAAGGGGAUAACCCGUUGAAAGACGGACUAAUACCCUAUAACACAGGGGUCCCGCAUGGGAAUAUUUGUUAAAGGACAACCGGUUGAAGAUGGGCAUGCGUUCCAUUAGCUAGUUGGCGGGGUAACGGCCCACCAAGGCAACGAUGGAUAGGGGAACUGAGAGGUUUAUCCCCCACACUGGUACUGAGACACGGAUCAGACUCCUACGGGAGGCAGCAGUGAGGAAUAUUGGUCAAUGGACGCAAGUCUGAACCAGCCACGUCGCGUGAAGGAAGACGGCCCUACGGGUUGUAAACUUCUUUUGUAAGGGAAUAAAGUGCCCCACGCGUGGGGUUUUGCAUGUACCGUAUGAAUAAGGAUCGGCUAACUCCGUGCCAGCAGC